UACAGAGGUCUCAAGCGUUGUUCGGAUUCAUUGGGCGUAAAGGGUGCGUAGGCGGCGCGGUAAGUCGGGUGUGAAAUCUCGGGGCUUAACUCCGAAACUGCAUUCGAUACUGCCGUGAUUGAGGACUGGAGAGGAGACUGGAAUUUACGGUGUAGCGGUGGAAUGCGCAGAUAUCAGGAGGAACACCGGUGGCGAAGGCGGGUCUCUGGGCCGAAACUGACGCUGAGGAGCGAAAGCGUGGGGAGCGAACAGG
rnacentral:rRNA from 1 species